rnacentral:lncRNA from 1 species
AGCAUCUAGCUACUUGCAAUUUUUCUUCAGCUUGUAGUUUGGGUGCUGGCUAGAUGGUAAUUUUUUUGUCUAAGUUCUUCUAUUGUUUCCUUAUUUUCAGGGAUAUGCCAAUAUUCAAUCCCAAAGAAAGGUAUUUGUCUCCAACUAGUGUAGUUUCUUCAUGUUGUAUCCUUAAAUUGAAGCACAACUAAUUCUUUAGCUCAAGAGUUCAAUAUUUUUGUUGUAGGGAUCCAGGUGAGGCCUCACCUUGUAAGUCUGCUCUACCUGCUGUCAUCAAUGACGAUGAACUCCAUCAAAACAUACUAUAUUUUUCUCUGCAGAAUUCCUGUUUUGUGAGUCAACUUUGGUUCUAUGGCUUGAUGCCUUAUCAAACUCAUUGGAUUUUCCUUGCCCUUUUUUAGGGAAGCUAUGGGAGAAAGAAUUUGUUCUAGAAUAUAGGUUUGUACCACACUACAUGAUGUGCAAAUCUCACUGCAAAUAACUUGUAUUGUUCAGAAAAGUCCUUGUUCUAUUACUUAGAGUCAUACCUAUAGAGCUAGUGCUCCUCCGAACAUUCUUGUAAUGUUAGUACCUAAUGUAGAUCCUGGAGGUGCUGCUAAAAUUUCCUACUAGAGAUAGAAGAAAUGAUUUCUGGGAUUUCUGUUUGUUUAGAGUGCAUAUGUGACUUUCCUAUCAUCCAGGUAUGGAUUUAAAGUAGAUAUACGUAUACCUCAUGUUGGAGUUGAACUAAAUACUUGACAUACUUCUUGUAGAGUUUCCUAUCAAUUUUGAGCUGCUUGUGUGCCACCAUUGAUUUUCACAUAAAAAUUAUGAAAUUAUGUCAUUAAUUUUCAGGUAGAAAUUAUAUCACCAAAGGCAUCCCAGGCAUGCCACUUUGCACAGUUGAAAAAAGAUGAUAAUCUUUUAGUGCUCAACAAAUGUAUUGAUCAAUUUCCACAAUUAGUAAUGCAAAUUAGCGGCUACUUCACUGUUCUUGUUUCCUUUUGCAAUCUGCAAGGAACUCAAAAGACAGUUGUACAUUUGCUCACCUGCAUCAUGGCCCAUAUAUUGUUUGGGCAAUGUAGAAUGUCAGAACUUGCAGUUUUUGUACAGGUUUGGAUAGAAAUUCAUCAAUACAUUUUUUGAGGACUAAAAUCUUAUCAAUCAAUUAGAUGCUGAAUUUUGUAAUUCAGGAAUAGAUGACCCUCUCCAUGCAAAAUAAAGUGUAGUUAGCUCUCAUAUGAACGUGUUUCUAUAUCUUCUGCCUCUGUUAUGCAUGGAUCUAACUAGAAGCUUCAAUUAGUUGACAGGCCAUUGUCUUCAGUUUGAGAUUCAUGAUGUUACUACUUGUUCUAUACAGAUAAAAGAAAUUUAUGUGUAUAUGGGUAUAUCCAGUUUUUACCUUAAAUAUUACGCCCUCCAUUCCUAAAUAUAAGCCUUUUUAGAUUCCAAUAUGGACUACAUAAAUCUCGAAAAAGACUUAUAUUUAGAAACGGAGGGAGUAGGUUUCUUUUCAACCAUAGAUGUUGGUACUAGAAUAAUUCUUAUUUCCAUUUUUCUGGUUGGGUUGUUGUCUUUAGAAUACCAUUUUCUGCCUAGAAUGUUUUCACUAAAGGAAAUUUUAAUGGAAAACACCACAGUUUCAUUUCUUACUCCAGUUAUCUAUGUGUUGAUUUCUUGCUUGAAACUGUUGGGCAUUCAUAUUACCAAAGCUUCAGAUGUUUGACCCAUCAACAUUGUGCUAUAGGGGUUUCAUGCAUGUUACUUAGCAUAAGAUGAGAUGAGCACCCUUUCAUUUUAGGUGCUAACUAAAUAAAGUGAUUCAGUAUGAACUAAUAUAGUGCAUGGGGGUUCUACAGAUGCAGCAGCAUCAAGGACUAUGCUGGGAAGAAGCACAUGGUGUUGUAUUGCGGUAAUGCCGGGAUCAUGCAUGUCACCUAUGAGAACAAGCACAACCACAAGCACGUGCAGUAGCUCAACCUGUCGAUGAUCGCCGCGAAUUCAGAAGCCCAACUGAAGCUGCCAGUGCCAUAAGAAGUUGAAGAACUCUAAAUUUUUUACGCCAUGAAUUGAACAUGUCAUUCAGCUCUUCUUUGGUGAUUCACUCUGACAAAUAGCAAAAAUUGUAACAAUAAGGCAAAGAUUUCACUGUAAUCUUUUUCAUGAUGUAUAGUGAAU